UAAGAUCUCGCCAUCUUGGGUGCACUCCUAGAGUGUGAAACGGGAAGUCGGUGACGCUGGACAACCAGCCAUUCCGACGCAGCCCCCGCUGCUGUAAGCCUGACAACUCCGCGAAACGCCACUGUGUAGGUUCCACGGGAAGGCGCGGACGAGAUCGACGGCAAGCCAGAAGACCGGCCCAGGAGACUUGAUGGUG
rnacentral:ncRNA from 2 species